rnacentral:rRNA from 1 species
UAUGGUUGCCAGCAGCCGCGGUAAUACGUAGGGGGCAAGCGUUAUCCGGAUUUACUGGGUGUAAAGGGAGCGUAGACGGCAUGGCAAGCCAGAUGUGAAAGCCCGGGGCUCAACCCCGGGACUGCAUUUGGAACUGUCAGGCUAGAGUGUCGGAGAGGAAAGCGGAAUUCCUAGUGUAGCGGUGAAAUGCGUAGAUAUUAGGAGGAACACCAGUGGCGAAGGCGGCUUUCUGGACGAUGACUGACGUUGAGGCUCGAAAGCGUGGGGAGCAAACAGG